CAACGGGAAGAUUUCAAAUUCCAACAAACUGUAGUUGGCUGGUUUGCUUACUCUUCACAGACGUGUCAACCUGGUACAACCAACUCUGGUAUUUCCAGAGCCUCAGCCAGGUGCUCGUACAACAAUGGAAACCCAAAAUUUGACUCCAUUGAAAAAAUUGAAUGUGAAUUAACCCUUGAGAAUAUUCGAGCCAAUGUCACAGUUUCACUUGGGGCAGUGGAAGCACAGCAGCUAGCAAGCAGUACACAGAUCCUUACUUCCAGACCAGAGCAGCUGACGGCCUCAAACAUCACUUCCGCAGCAAAGAUAAUAAAUACCAUCCUGUCCAACAGCA